rnacentral:rRNA from 1 species
UACGUAGGGUGCGAGCGUUGUCCGGAAUUAUUGGGCGUAAAGAGCUCGUAGGCGGUGUGUCACGUCGGCCGUGAAAACCUGCAGCUUAACUGUGGGCGUGCGGUCGAUACGGGCAUCACUGGAGUUCGGCAGGGGAGACUGGAAUUCCUGGUGUAGCGGUGAAAUGCGUAGAUAUCAGGAGGAACACCGGUGGCGAAGGCGGAUCUCUGGGCCUUACCUGACGCUCAGGUGCGAAAGCUAGGGGAGCGAACAGG